rnacentral:rRNA from 1 species
GACGAACGCUGGCGGCGUGCCUUAAACAUGCAAGUCGAACGGAAAGACGGGGCUUUUGCCUUUUGAGCGUGGCGGACUGGUGGGUGACACACGGGUGGAAUACCUACUUGUUGGGGUUAGAUAUUAGAAAGAGUAGGGAAUAAAGACUGUAUCAGAUCCUGUUCGAGGGGUUUGAGUAGAGGAGCUCGGGUUUCGCGAAAAGAAUAGCUGGCGGCCCGCUAGGCUCGUUGGUGAGGUAACGGCCCACCAAGGCGAGGAAGGGUAGCCGGCCUGAGAGGGUGAUCGGCCACAUUGGAACUGAGACACGGCCCAGACUACUACGGGAGGCAGCAGUAGAGAAUAUUCCGCAAUGGGCGAAAGUCUGACGGAGCGACGCCGCGUGGAUGAAGAAGGCCGAAGGGUCGUAAAACCCUUUUAAGCGUGAUGAACAAGUAUAGUAGGGAAUGAUGGGGCGGUGACGGUAGGGCGUGAAUAAGCACCGGCUAACUACGUG